UCUCAGUCUCUGACGGCUUCAGAGCCGUGGAUCCCUCUAAGAAGAGUUAUAUCAUAAGCGGCGGACUUGGAGUGUACGAUCCGGGGCCUCCAACGNNNACUCGAAGCUUACCGUGCCGCCAAGCACCACCGGUGCACGACUCACCGAGCAAGAUCCAACCGACUAGUUAGCAGGGGAGAGUCUCGUUCGUUAU
rnacentral:rRNA from 1 species